AAAACCCCGCAAGGGGUUAGUAGAGUGGCGAACGGGUGAGUAACACGUGGGUGACCUACCUUCGAAUGGGGGAUAACGUCCCGAAAGGGACGCUAAUACCGCAUAACAUCCUGCUUUUGAACAGGUGGAGAUCAAAGCCGGGGAUCGUAAGACCUGGCGUUUGAAGAGGGGCCCGCGUCUGAUUAGCUAGUUGGUGAGGUAACGGCCCACCAAGGCGACGAUCAGUAUCCGGCCUGAGAGGGCGGACGGACACACUGGGACUGAGACACGGCCCAGACUCCUACGGGAGGCAGCAGUGGGGAAUUGUUCGCAAUGGGCGCAAGCCUGACGACGCAACGCCGCGUGGAGGAUGAAGGUCUUCGGAUUGUAAACUCCUGUUGCCCGGGACGAAAAGCUUCGACCUAACACGUCGAAGUCUGACGGUACCGGGUGAGGAAGCCCCGGCUAACUCUGUGCCAGCAGCCGCGGUAAUACAGAGGGGGCAAGCGUUGUUCGGAAUUACUGGGCGUAAAGGGCGCGUAGGCGGCCUGCUAAGUCGAACGUGAAAUCCCCGGGCUCAACCCGGGAACUGCGUCCGAUACUGGCAGGCUUGAAUCCGGGAGAGGGAUGCGGAAUUCCAGGUGUAGCGGUGAAAUGCGUAGAUAUCUGGAGGAACACCGGUGGCGAAGGCGGCAUCCUGGACCGGCAUUGACGCUGAGGCGCGAAAGCCAGGGGAGCAAACGGGAUUAGAUACCCCGGUAGUCCUGGCCCUAAACGAUGAAUGCUUGGUGUGGCGGGUAUCGAUCCCUGCCGUGCCGAAGCUAACGCAUUAAGCA
rnacentral:rRNA from 1 species